GAACUGGCGGCGCGCGGCGGCGCCAAGGGUCUCUAACGGCCAUGAGAGAGAUGCUGGCAGGUUCGAGGCCUGUCGGGCCC
rnacentral:tRNA from 1 species